UACGGGGGGGGCAAGCGUUGUUCGGAAUUACUGGGCGUAAAGGGCUCGUAGGCGGCCAACUAAGUCGGACGUGAAAUCCCCAGGCUCAACCUGGGAACUGCGUCCGAUACUGGAUGGCUUGAAUCCGGGAGAGGGAUGCGGAAUUCCAGGUGUAGCGGUGAAAUGCGUAGAUAUCUGGAGGAACACCGGUGGCGAAGGCGGCAUCCUGGACCGGGAUUGACACUGAGGCGCGAAAGCCAGGGGAGCAAACGGG
rnacentral:rRNA from 1 species